GAACGGGUGAGUAACACGUGAGCAACCUGCCCUAUACAGGGGGACAACAGCUGGAAACGGCUGCUAAUACCGCAUAAGACCACAGUACCGCAUGGUACAGUGGUAAAAGGCUACGGUCAGUAUAGGAUGGGCUCGCGCACUAUUAGCUAGUUGGUGAGAUAAUAGCCCACCAAGGCGACGAUAGUUAGCCGACCUGAGAGGGUGAUCGGCCACAUUGGGACUGAGACACGGCCCAGACUCCUACGGGAGGCAGCAGUAGGGAAUAUUGGUCAAUGGAGGAAACCCUGAACCAGCAACGCCGCGUGAAGGAUGAAGGUUUUCGGAUUGUAAACUUCUGUUAUGAGAGAAAAAUAAAUGAUGGUAUCUCAUGAGUAAGCCCCGGCUAACUAUGUGCCAGCAGCCGCGGUAAGACAUAGGGGGCAAGCGUUGUCCGGAAUAACUGGGCGUAAAG
rnacentral:rRNA from 1 species